rnacentral:rRNA from 3 species
AAACAACUCUCAGCAACGGAUAUCUUGGCUCUUGCAACGAUGAAGAACGCAGCGAAAUGCGAUACGUAGUGU